CCUACGGGUGGCAGCAGUGGGGGAUAUUGCACAAUGGACGAGAGUCUGAACCAGCCAAGUAGCGUGAAGGAUGACUGCCCUAUGGGUUGUAAACUUCUUUUAUAUGGGAAUAAAACGUUCCACGUGUGGGAUUUUGUAUGUACCAUAUGAAUAAGGAUCGGCUAACUCCGUGCCAGCAGCCGCGGUAAUACGGAGGAUCCGAGCGUUAUCCGGAUUUAUUGGGUUUAAAGGGAGCGUAGGUGGAUUGUUAAGUCAGUUGUGAAAGUUUGCGGCUCAACCGUAAAAUUGCAGUUGAAACUGGCAGUCUUGAGUACAGUAGAGGUGGGCGGAAUUCGUGGUGUAGCGGUGAAAUGCUUAGAUAUCACGAAGAACUCCGAUUGCGAAGGCAGUUCACUGGACUGCAACUGACACUGAGGCUCGAAAGUGUGGGUAUCAAACAGGAUUAGAUACCCCAGUAGUC
rnacentral:rRNA from 1 species